CGUGAGUGAUGAAGGCCUUCGGGUUGUAAACUCUUUCGCGCACGACGAUAAUGACGGUAGUGCGAGAAGAAGCUCCGGCUAACUUCGUGC
rnacentral:rRNA from 1 species